AAAUAAUUCUGAAUAACAACUAUGGAAAAAUUGGAAGAAAAAUAAAGGUUAAAUGAAGAGAUUAGGGAGGGGAAAAUGGAACUGGGAAAGAAAAUUAGUCGAACGAGGCGAACGAUACACUAGAAUAUCUACGAUUCAUGUGAUUGUAAAUAUAUAGUAUAUAAAUAACGUAACGUUAAUUAACGAUAUGCCGUACGUGUUACACUAAAGAAACAAACAAGAAAAAAAAAUAAAUAACGUUACUGUGUAAUUUUUCGGAUCGUAAACGCAUUCGAAUGGGUCUGGCCGCCCGUGCUAACCGGCUCGAAAUUGUGUUCGAAACAACAGCUGGUUUCGAGAGUUCUAGAUCGAGAAUAUUCGUGUCGUUUGAUUCGUUCAAAUCAUUAGUCACUAUAUCGCAAACUUCUGUACAUUCCUUUGAUCGAUAAAUAACGUAUAUAUUUAACUACAUUUUUCUUGUAUUCAAUCGAAUCUAUUCUAAGAAAUUCUCGAUAUGAGAAGAUGUUUGCAAGAACAAACACGAAGAGAAAAAAUAAAGAGAGAAAAAAAAAUGAAAAAAUUAAAAGUGCGGGAAAAGACAAAAAAGAUUAGAAGAAAAGUAAAAGGCAGCACUGUCGCGUAUUUCUGGCAUAUUGGUGCAUCGAGCAACAAAAAGAAACGCAGCUAUGUUCAGUGCGUUUCUGGAUAGCACGGGCCGGCCACACGCGAUUAGAUGUAACACCUAAUUAAACGCCUAGCGUAAGAACGGAUAUAAAUGAAGGAUUAUAUUGUCUGAUAUAAUGUAAUCAGGUAUCGUGACAACAGGGAUGAGAAGAACUGUCCCGUUCUAUGUGUGUAAGAACCAUAAAGCUUAAUGAAGAACAUUAUACUAUGAAUUACGGGAUACUAAAUAAAAGUAAGCCAAACCGUUAA